UUUUUUUUUUUUUUUUUUUUUUUUUUUUUCAUUUUUUAAUUAUCACUAUAUAACACCUUUACAUAACAACGUGUACCACAUUUUAAACAGUAGAGUUUAUUCUAUCUAUUCUUAUUUUUCUUUUAUCAAACAGUAUUAAAACUUUAUGUAUAGGCCAUGUGAUUGAUGUUUAUAUAACUGUGGCAUCUGUAUUAGGUAGUGAAGAACUUAAAACGACGGCACAGAAAAAUAUGUACAUUUCUGUACAUAUAUAUAUUUUCACUACAUAAGAAAGUUUUCUUUUUUUUUUAUGUAUACUUUUAAACAUAACUCGAUUGUAUAAUAAUAUAUAUUUACAUUUGUACUGUCAAAUAAAAACUGUUGUAAGAAAAAAAAAAAAAAAAAAAAAGUUAAAAAUAAAUGGAAAUAUCAUUGAUGAAACAUUUUAUUUUUCUUUUCCCCACCAAUGUACACAUAUAUAUAUGUACAUGUAAAUAGUGACAAGAACGUGAGAGCAUACAGCUUAUUGCGUAUACCCCUAUUAACUAAUGAAUGGUGUUUUGUUAGCACAUUUUUUUACUAUAUUUUUUUUAAACUGUAUUGUACAUUGUGAUGGUUAUAUUUUUAUUUUAUAGUGCAACAAAAAAAAAUAAGGCUAAUCAAACGACAAAGCAAAAAAAAAAAAAAAAAAAAUAAUUAAAUAAAAAUAAAAUAAAAUAAACAAUUUAGCCAUAAUUGAUUUAAAAAACGUAUAUAUAAAUUUAUAUAUAUAAAUGUAUAUAUGUAAAUGUAUAUACAUAAAUAUACAUAUGUAUAUACUUUAGUUUAUUUAAGUUUCUUAUGGUUUAUAAUAAAAAACCUUUAAACGCUGUUCUAUAAAGAAAAAAAAAAAAAAAAAAAAAAAAAAAAAAUGAAUAUGAGAUUAACUUUUCGAACAAUUUUUGAAACAAAAUGCAGAACAUCACUGAUGCCAAAAAGUGUGUCCUUUAACAUUUUGCAUAUAGGAAAGCAGAAUAUAACAUAUUAUCCAUGUAGAAGACAGGAAGGUCAUAAAAUUGAAUUAAUGCUAGGUAAACACAGACAAAGGAAAAUUAAUCCACCUGUUUAUCCUAUCCAUCCAAAUGAAGAAAAAAAAAAAAAUCUGAACAAUUUCAUAACAUAUAAAGAUUUAAAAAUAAGGUGGAAGAACACAUCCAAAAGAUACCGUAAAAAAGUAACCAUAGCUAGGAAAUGGAAAAACCUACAUUGUUUACUACCUUUUAAUAAGAACAGCUGUAUAUUUAUUUUGCAUAAAAAUUUACCAUUUACUCGUUUAAAAAACGAAAAAGAGUGGCAAUCUACAGAAAAAAUAAAAGAAGAAUUUGAAACGAAGCAAACAAAAGAAAAAAAUGAAAAAAAUGAAAAAAAUGAAAAUGACUCAAACGAAUUGAUACAUAUAGAAGCAAAAAAUAAAAUAAACGAAAAGUGUGUAUUAUUAGAAAAGAAGCAGGAUAUAAAUUAUAAUAAAAUUGUAUCUAUUGGUAGAAAAAAAAAAAAAAAAAAAAAUAAAUUUAUAGAAAAUAUGAAUGGAAUGAGUGAACAAGGCGUACCAAUAGAAAGUAUGUCAAGUGAUAAAAGUGUUAAUUAUUAUGAAACACCUCCGUCUAAUAUGCAACAUAUAAUUAAUAAAGAUAAAAAUAAUUUAUUUUGUAUUUUUAAAUCGAAUUUUAUAAAUGAGCAUAAAGUUACUAUAGGUGAUAUAGUACAAACAGAGAAACUACAUAGGAAAAAAGCAGGGGAUGUUAUUUAUUUUGGUACAGUAUUGUUAGCUGGGUCAAAAAAUUUUACAAUUGUAGGUAAGCCUACUAUUCCUUAUUGUAAAGUUAAAGCAACUAUUGAACAAAUAACUUUAAGUAAAGAAAUAUUAAGUUUUCGUUAUAAAAAAGUUAGAAGGUCUAGUAGGUUUUUAAGAAUAAGACAUUGGAUUACUAUUUUAAAAAUAGAUGAUAUUAUUAUUAAUACAGAACAGAAGGAAACCAAUUAUUACAAUAAUAAUAAUAACAAUAUAAAUAAUGAAAUUACAAAGAAACCUUUACAAAUUUUGGAUUUAUGGGCUAACAGAUGGUUAUAUCAGAAAGAAUUAAAUUUUAUUAAAUUUGAUAAAAAUAAUAAUCCAAUGGCUGAACAAAUUUAUAAUCUUUUAGAACAUCAACCAAAUACAUUACACAGGAGAGGUCUUACAGACUGUUAUCGAUUUUACCCGGAUCCUCAAAUUCCUAACACGUAUUAACAUCUUUAUGUUUGUCCACUAUUGAAAUUGUCAAUAUAUCAUUUAUUUAUAUUUAAUUUAUAUACUUUAAUUUAUAUACUUUAAUUUAUAUACUUUAAUUUAUAUACUUUAAUUUAUAUACUUUAAUUUAUAUACUUUAAUUUAUAUACUUUAAUUUAUAUACUUUAAUUUAUGUACUUUAAUUUAUAUACUUUAAUUUAUAUACUUUAAUUUAUGUACUUUAAUUUAUAUACUUUAAUUUAUAUACUUUAAUUUAUAUACUUUAAUGUUUUUGUUUUUAUUUUCCGUAUAUCCGAACUUUAUAUUUUAUUUUUUAUUUUUUUUCGCAAUCCUUUAUAAAGUCUCGCUUGUUUGCUUGUUUCUUCGCUCACUUUUUUUUUUUUCUUUUUUCUAUAUUUGUUUUAAAAUAAGGUUAGCAAGUGAAUGUGUCAACAAAAAUUGUCAUAAUUUAUAAUAAAUUAGAAAAAUGUAAAAGCUUAUUUUCUUAU
rnacentral:lncRNA from 1 species